rnacentral:misc_RNA from 1 species
GAAAAAGAGGAUCACGUUCUUAUUUUGCAAAUAAUUCCUUUAUUGCGUAUUUGAGGUUUGUUCUUUAUAUUAUCAUAACUUAACAGAUGGAUACUGGCAAAGUAAACGAUGACAAGAACUUUGACUCUGACUCCGAUGUAGGUUUCGGGGACAGGAAUGAGAACGAUAAUCUACGAAGACGUUCCGAUACGAUUGACAACGAAAACGUCAACAAUGUGGGAAGAAGAGACAUGGAGUUAACCAGUGGUAUAUUAACAUCUGAGCAACUGGCUCUUGCGAGGUUGGGAAAAAUACAGGUUUAUUCUAACUCACCAGACAUUAUGUCUAAGAGUCAAGAAGAUGAAUUCAAGAGACAUAUGGAGAGUUUUGUGAGGCAAAUUUCAGGGGAAACUACAUUAUCUCCUGAGAUUUUUGCAGGUUUCUACGCAUCUCUAUUCCAAGCUUGGGCAAACCAAAGUACUUCGGAAAAGAACGCGUCGAAUGCAAAUCUCGAGAAUGUGUUCAUGGUUAAUGGUAAGGAGUACAGUUGGAGAACUCAUAGUUUCAUCAAUCACAUGCAAUCCAAUAUGCCCGACGUGAAGAAUGCUGCUAGGAAAUGGGCCAGGGCUCACGCGAAUGAUUAUAAGGUUCUUGUUGGUUUGGGUAUAGUAAAACCUGACUAUCAUUUGCAAGCUAAACAAGGUGUAUUACCGGAGUAUUGGCAUCUUGCGACCGACUUCAUGAGAGGUAAUGACAUGGCGACGACUGCAGAUGGAUUAGCAGCAACACUGAUGAUGAUGAAAAGGAACGCUCUUUGUAACAAGGACAACAAGAAUUCUAUUUAUAACGUAACUCAAUUGACCGGUACUGGUCUUCACUGUUGAGUAUGGAUAUAUUAGAACUAGAAGUAGAUAACAUUAUAUCGACAAAUUAUCCCGAUGAUGAAUCCGAAAUAGUGACUAGAGCUGUGGGAUGUAAGUUCAAUCAAGAUUAUUCUCUACCUUACAAAGAUAGAGAACAAGUCGACUUCUCUAUACCUUACACUUCCGCGUUAAGAAGUAAACCUGUCACUUUAGAACUAUAUUUUCAUAUAGGAUCCGGGUAUGUUGUGUAUACUUGUAAACCCGCCGAUAACUUCAACCAAAAGAUAUAUGAGUCGAAUUUGGGAUCAUUCUUCUCAUCUUUUAGGAAUCUCGUCACUCCCAGAAGACCGCGUGGUAUGAACGCAUUUAGAUUUGGAUAUUUGCGAGAGGGAAACGACUGCUUUAUAAUAGUUGAAGGUUGGAGAGUCGUGCAGAUAUCAAAUGCCAACACUAUAUUCGGCGUUUCAUUGAGGUUAUCGUUAGACAUUGGCGACGUAAUCUUCAGCAAGUCCGACAAACUAAGUGCUAAUCAAAUUGCUCUAGAUUCGUGUUUGGAAUGCACUAGACCAGAUGGUUUGUUGAAAGGGGCCAAACCGAAAAGUGUUAAUAUUUUCUCUGAGACAACCCAAGAAAGUGUGAAAAUAACACCAAUUGGAGACAUUCCAUUAAGUGUUUUCAAUUCAGUAACCAAUCUCAAUCUAAAAAUACUGAGAAGUGGUGACGAUUCUACAUCGAUUAAAGAUGAGACUCAGAUCGACAAAGACCGUACUACAAUGAGUAAUGAAGAAGAUAAAAAGAAGAUCUUCCGCAUUUAUUACUCAAAUUUCUUAGACAGUGGUUUUAAGAAUUCUUUAAACUACACUAUACUUUGGCCGCAGAUAUCAUGUAACGGUGUAGAUGUAAAUCACCAAUUUUGGAUCGGUGACAGAGAAGAUAUGUUUGAAGGAGGUGUACAUUACAUACACACCACAUCGAUCAAUACGUUAUUCUUCGUACAUCGUAAGGGAGAUGUUUCAGAAUAUUUUAAAAUAAACGAAGAUCAAUCUGCCAGGAUACUGAAGACUAUACCAACUGAACUCACCUUCAGUAUAGUCAAAAAUCCUGGAAGUAAGUAUGUGGUGUAUGUCAAUGGAGAAAAAUUUUUAAGUACAUUUCUGCCUAAUGUUGGUACCAAAGUCCAAAUAGGUUGGGAAAUAAAGUUGUACAAAGAUAAGGUUAAAAAUUUUGAGAAGUCCAAUUUGAAAACUUUCGAAAUUGUUCCUAGAGAAACGCAAGUUAAGUCGGAUAAUGAGCUUGUGACACUAAGAAAAUAUGAGUUUGGAACAACAGAUUUCAAUGCUAGUGGAUGGGUACUUGAAAAGAAGUUGGGGCUGAGAUUGAAAACAAUUAAGCAUGUCAACGAACUUUUCACCGAUGACAAACCUCCUGAGAAAGAAGAACAAGUCGAUAAGACGGAUAAGCAAGACAAGAAAACACCCGAAGAAAAGAUCGACGACACCGUAGUUGUUGACAAGACAGAGGAUGCGAAAGAAAACUUGGAAGAGUUCGCACUCAAAGCCGUUGUUUAUCAACCACUAUCAAGGUUAGAAGAUGAGAAAAUCUUCAACAACAUGAUUAAAUAUUAUGAAAGUAAGGGAUUAACUCAAAGACAAGCUGAAUUACUCAUCUAUCAAAUGGGAGUUUCCUUUUGUACGAGUGUUAACAGUUGUGCAAAUACCAAUCUACAUUUAAUUGUAUCUAAACCGGAUGGAAGUUUGCUCAAGGUGUCUAAGUCCGACCACGUAAUGAGGAUGCAAAUGUUGUGUAAGAAGUACUGCAACGUUGAAAGAACGUUACUUAGAAAUAGAAGUGAUAAAAUAUUCAGACUUCUGAAGGCUAAGGUACUGGUUUUACCACUGAAACAUGCUAGGGUCAGAGGUAUAAAACCGGAAAUGGCACAUAUGGCAUGUGAUUUCAUGGACUACACCACCAUCCCAUUGAGUGAUGAGGAAGUUCUUGCAUUAAAUUCAAUGCAAAGAUUUGUAUUGAUGAGAAAUAAGCACCGCAGGUCCAUAGUGAAUGUGAAUCAACUGUUUUGAAAAUAUGUCGGGCUGGGAUGACAUACCUAUACAACAAAAUUAUGUUUCUUCCAGCGUUCGUAAUGAUGAUGACAUUGCGAAGAUAUGUGCCAGAACGUUUAACCGAGCAGUUAAUUUAUUAACUGAUUAUUCUCAACAUACUAUUCCUGAACUUCGAGAAAGUAGAUUCGAGUUGGGAUGUAUCCGAAGUCUGUGUGAAAACGAUGACCUCAAUAUCAACCUUGGAGCAGAUAAUAACAAUCUUUUCCAAGGAUUGAACAAAUUGGGCGUUAGGGCCGACUCACUUAGAGUUAACAGUGAGAGGUUCUUCCCCUCAAUAUCCAGUAAGGUGAUGACCAACGUGAUAGAUUCUAUUUCCUCUGUGAUGGAGUUUGUUAUAGAUCUUAAUCAUUCUGGGUUUUCAACCUUAUGGGUUGGUGAGAUCAUGACCAUAUAUGAUGUCAACAGUUUUGACAAACUGGUGGAUGCCAUAUAUAGGUUUUUGUUAUACACCUACAACUUCCCUGAGGAAGUGCAAUUUCAUAUGACCUUGAAUUUGUUUAAUGACGAUAUUUUAAAAAUAAUAUCAAAAGCAAAGAAAAAGAUUAGACCUCUUAGUGAUAGUGAGAGGGUUUUAAUGGCUAAAAGUAUUACUAAAGGGAUUCAUUUCGAAUUCCACUUUACUUAUAGGUCUUUAGGUUUAUAUCUUCCUAAAGUAACUAAUAGUCUAACGGUUUGUAAUAAAAAUCGAUAAAGAUAUUAGGGUAGAUUUGAUUAAUGUUUAUACCCUAGAGUCAUACACCUGAGAGAUUCGGAGUGUGUAUUGUAAAAACUCAAAAAAUAUAUGUUUCGUAUACGUAUUUCUAUUUAGAGUGUGUGUAUGAACGGUUUUCCUAAAUCGUCGUGAGACGGACCUUGGAAAACCUAGUAUUUAAAUAACUAGGUC